AUACGUAGGGGGCGAGCGUUGUUCGGAAUCAUUGGGCGUAAAGGGCGCGCAGGCGGCGAGGCAAGUCCGGUGUGAAAGUGCUCGGCUCAACCGAGUGAUGCGCUGGAAACUGCCCUGCUUGAGUACAGGAGGGGACGUCGGAAUUCCAGGUGUAGGGGUGAAAUCUGUAGAUAUCUGGAAGAACACCGGUGGCGAAGGCGGACGUCUGGCCAUGUACUGACGCUGAGGCGCGAAGGUGCGGGGAGCGAACAGGUUUAGAUACCCUGGUAGUCCGCACAGUAAACGAUGUGCACCAGGUGGCGGGGGGUAGCCCUCGGUACCGAAGCCAACGCAUUAAGUGCACCGCCUGGGGAGUAUGCUCGCAAGGGUGAAACUCAAAUGAAUUGACGGGG
rnacentral:rRNA from 1 species